rnacentral:rRNA from 1 species
UACGAAGGGGGCUAGCGUUGCUCGGAAUCACUGGGCGUAAAGGGUGCGUAGGCGGGUCUUUAAGUCAGGGGUGAAAUCCUGGAGCUCAACUCCAGAACUGCCUUUGAUACUGAAGAUCUUGAGUUCGGGAGAGGUGAGUGGAACUGCGAGUGUAGAGGUGAAAUUCGUAGAUAUUCGGAAGAACACCAGUGGCGAAGGCGGCCCGCUGGGCAACUGCUGACACUGAGGCGCGACAGCGUGGGGAGCAAACAGG